UUGGGUCUUGGUACUACAUGUACAGGAUAGGUGGGAGGCUUUGAAACCAGGACGCCAGUUUUGGCGGAGCCAUCCUUGGGAUACCACCCUUGUAGUACUGGGACUCUAACCAUAGGCCAUGAAUCUGGUCUUGGGACACUGUCAGGUGGGCAGUUUGACUGGGGCGGUCGCCUCCCAAAAGGUAACGGAGGCGCUCAAAGGUUCUCUCAGUACGGUCGGAAAUCGUACGUAGAGUGUAAAGGCAAAAGAGAGCUUGAUUGCAAGACAUACAGGUCGAGCAAGGAUGAAAAUCGGACUUAGUGAUCCGGUGGUUCUGCGUGGAAGGGCCAUCGCUCAACGGAUAAAAGCUACCCUGGGGAUAACAGGCUUAUCUCCCCCAAGAGUCCACAUCGACGGGGAGGUUUGGCACCUCGAUGUCGGCUCAUCACAUCCUGGGGCUGUAGUAGGUCCCAAGGGUUGGGCUGUUCGCCCAUUAAAGUGGUACGCGAGCUGGGUUCAGAACGUCGUGAGACAGUUCGGUCCCUAUCCGUCGCAGGCGUAGGAAAUUUGAGAAGACCUGUCCUUAGUACGAGAGGACCGGGAUGGACGUACCUCUGGUGUACCAGUUGUCCUGCCAAGGGCAUGGCUGGGUAGCUAUGUACGGAAUGGAUAAGCGCUGAAAGCAUCUAAGCGCGAAGCCAACUUCAAGAUAAGAUUUCCCACCGCAAGGGUAAGACCCCAGAAAGACUAUCUGGUUGAUAGGUCGAAGGUGUAAGUGCAGCAAUGUAUUUAGCUUAUCGAUACUAAUAGGUCGAGGACUUGACCAA
rnacentral:rRNA from 1 species